rnacentral:rRNA from 1 species
UACGAGUGCCCCGAGCGUUAUCCGGAAUUAUUGGGCGUAAAGGGUGUGUAGGCGGUUUUGUUAGUCUUGUGGUAAAGCUCCCGGCUUAACCGGGAAAGUGCAUGAGAUACGGCAAAACUAGAGGAUGCGAGAGGUAUGCGGAACUCAUAGUGUAGGGGUGAAAUCCGUUGAUAUUAUGGGGAACACCAAAAGCGAAGGCAGCAUACUGGCGCACUCCUGACGUUGAGACACGAAAGCGUGGGUAGCGAAUGGG